rnacentral:rRNA from 1 species
AUACGGAGGGGGCUAGCGUUGUUCGGAAUUACUGGGCGUAAAGCGCACGUAGGCGGAUUAAAAAGUCAGAGGUGAAAUCCCAGGGCUUAACCCUGGAACUGCCUUUAAAACUAGUAGUCUAGAGUUCGAGGGAGGUGAGUGGAAUUCCAAGUGUAGAGGUGAAAUUCGUAGAUAUUUGGAGGAACACCAGUGGCGAAGGCGGCUCACUGGCUCGAUACUGACGCUGAGGUGCGAAAGCGUGGGGAGCAAACAGGAUUAGAAACCCCUGUAGUCC